CGUAGCGCAGAGGUUAGCAAGUCAGCCUAUCACGCUGAACGUCUGGGUUCGAAUCCCGGCG
rfam:Stomoxys calcitrans breed 8C7A2A5H3J4 unplaced genomic scaffold Scaffold305, whole genome shotgun sequence.